rnacentral:rRNA from 1 species
CCUACGGGAGGCAGCAGUGGGGAAUAUUGCACAAUGGGGGAAACCCUGAUGCAGCGACGCCGCGUGAGUGAAGAAGUAUUUCGGUAUGUAAAGCUCUAUCAGCAGGGAAGAAAAUGACGGUACCUGAUUAAGAAGCCCCGGCUAACUACGUGCCAGCAGCCGCGGUAAUACGUAGGGGGCAAGCGUUAUCCGGAUUUACUGGGUGUAAAGGGAGCGUAGACGGCAGCACAAGUCUGGAGUGAAAUGCCGGGGCUUAACCCCGGAACUGCUUUGGAAACUGUGCAGCUAGAGUGCAGGAGAGGUAAGUGGAAUUCCUAGUGUAGCGGUGAAAUACGUAGAUAUUAGGAGGAACACCAGUGGCGAAGGCGGCUUACUGGACUGUAACUGACGUUGAGGCUCGAAAGCGUGGGGAGCAAACAGGAUUAGAUACCCUAGUAGUC